GUGAGGAAUAUUGGACAAUGGGCGCAAGCCUGAUCCAGCCAUGCCGCGUGCAGGAAGACGCAUCUAUGGUGUGUAAACUGCUUUUGUACGGGAAGAAACACUCCCUCGUGAGGGAGCUUGACGGUACCGUAAGAAUAAGGAUCGGCUAACUCCGUGCCAGCAGCCGCGGUAAUACGGAGGAUCCAAGCGUUAUCCGGAAUCAUUGGGUUUAAAGGGUCCGUAGGCGGUGUAAUAAGUCAGUGGUGAAAGCCCAUCGCUCAACGAUGGAACGGCCAUUGAUACUGUUAGACUUGAAUUACAAGGAAGUAACUAGAAUAUGUAGUGUAGCGGUGAAAUGCUUAGAUAUUACAUGGAAUACCAAUUGCGAAGGCAGGUUACUACUUGUGGAUUGACGCUGAUGGACGAAAGCGUGGGGAGCGAACAGGAUUAGAAACCCGGGUAGUCC
rnacentral:rRNA from 1 species